rnacentral:tRNA from 1 species
GCCGGUAUAGCUCAGGUGGUAGAGCAUCUCAUUCGUAAUGAGAGGGUCGCAGGUUCGAAUCCUGUUACCGGCU